GACGAACGCUGGCGGCGUGCUUAACACAUGCAAGUCGAACGGAAAGGCCCUGCUUUUGUGCGGUGCUCGAGUGGCGAACGGGUGAGUAACAAGUGAGUAACCUGCCCUUGACUUUGGGAUAACUUCAGGAAACUGGGGCUAAUACCGGAUAGGAGCUCCUGUUGCAUUGUGGGGGUUGGAAAGUUUCGCCGGUUGGGGAUGGACUCGCGGCUUAUCAGCUUGUUGGUGGGGUAGUGGCUCACCAAGGCGUUGACGGGUAGCCGGCCUGGGAGGGUGACAGGCCACAUUGGGACUGGGGUACGGCCCAGACGCCUAAGGGGGGGAGGAGGGGGGAAUAUUGCAAAAUGGGCGGAAGCCUGAUGCAGGAACGCCGGGUGGGGGAUGACGGCUUUCGGGAUGGAAACGGGUUUCGCCUGUGACGAAGCGUGAGGAAGGGUAAUGGAUAAGAAGCACCGGCUAACUACGUG
rnacentral:rRNA from 1 species